rnacentral:rRNA from 1 species
AUUGAACGCUGGCGGCAGGCUUAACACAUGCAAGUCGAGCGAGCGGCGGACGGGUGAGUACUGUCUGGGCCACUGCCUGAUGGAGGGGGAUAACUACUGGAAACGGUAGCUAAUACCGCAUACCAUCAGAUGUGCCCAGAUGGGAUUAGCUAGUAGGUGGGGUAAGGGCUCCCCUAGGCGACGCUCCCUAGCGGGUCUGAGAGGAGGACCAGCCACACGGGAACGGAGACACGGUCCAGACUCCGACGGGAGGAAGCAGUGGGGAAUAGUGCACAAGGGGCGCAAGCCUGAUGCAGCCAUGCCGCGUGUGUGAAGAAGGCCUUCGGGUUGUAAAGCACUUUCAGCGAGGAGGCGUUACUCGCAGAAGAAGCACCGGCUAACGCCGUGCCAGCAGCCGCGGUAAUUC